GCACUAAUGGGAUGUUAUAGUAUCCCCAACUCAAUUAGCUUGACGUCCUCGUCAAGGCCCGACAUAUCCCAGAUCGAACCCUAGCAUAGUGCAUGUGAGGAUUAACUCAGUGGUGGCUCCACGCCGUGAUGAGUUCUCUGACUCCAUCCACGGGUAGCCCUUUCCUACUCUAGCCCUCUCACCUUGCCCAAAUGCUAGGUCGGCUCUAAUACCAAAUGUAACGACCCGAGUUUGACGAGUUAACUAGCUAAUAACUCCAUUUUGGUCCUUCAACCGUGGACCAAAA
rnacentral:lncRNA from 1 species